GUCCCUGUCGAUUAGUGGUCAAAUCAUCACGUUGUGGUCGCAGCUCCGCGAAGCCGCCGGCUCGAAUCCGGCCAGGGACA